rnacentral:rRNA from 1 species
UACCAGCUCUUCGAGUGGUGUGGAUGUUUAUUGGGCCUAAAGCAUCCGUAGCUGGCUGGGCAAGUCCCCUGUUAAAUCCACCGAUUUAAUCGUUGGAGUGCGGGGGGAUACUGUUCGGCUAGGGGACGGGAGAGGCAGACGGUAUUUUCGGGGUAGGGGUGAAAUCCUAUAAUCCCGGGAAGACCACCAGUGGCGAAGGCUGUCUGCCAGAACGCGCCCGACGGUGAGGGAUGAAAGCUGGGGGAGCGAACCGGAUUAGAUACCCGGGUAGUCCCAGCUGUAAACGAUGCAGCUAGGUGUUUGGGCGGCCACGUGCCGCUCUAGUGCCGCAGGGAAGCCGUUAAGCCUGCCGCCUGGGGAGUACGGCCGCAAGGCUGAAACUUAAAGGAAUUGGCGGGGAGCACGACAAGGGGUGAAGCUUGCGGUUU